UGCCCAUCCAAGGGGUAGCAGCCUUGGUUAUCUCCUUCAGACAGGAGACCACCACAAUCCUAGAACAAUAAAAACAGAUGGAAACGAUGAAUUGACAUAAGACGACUCAGAUACACAGCUUUUCAAAAGGGCAGAGGGUUGCCAGGUUUGAUAGCUGAGGAUUUAAGAGGAAAGAGCACCUUCCAGCUUACGAACCUUCAACAUCAGCACUGUGCUUUGUGACUGGACUCCUGAUCCAGCUCUAUCGCUGUCUCAUGGACUCCUCCUCCUAGCUGCCACACUGAGCUUUCUGCCACAUCUUUAAUAAGCAACAUUCUUUUAUAAGCCCAGACUAUCUUAACACCCUACUUUGCCUAGAGAAUGCCUACUCAUUCUUCAAAGUGAAACUCGAAUGUCACCUCUUGUGAAAAAUCUUUCCUAAAUCUUUUUCUGUUGUAUUCCAAGCAAAAUAAGGAACUUCUUCCACUCCCAUAGGAUUGUAUUAUGCGUCCCCUAUGACACUGAACACAAUGUACUUGAUUUAGUGGUUUAUGUCAACCUCUAUGUCUAAACUGCGAUGGCUCUUCCCUCCUCCCAUGAAGCCAUAGUCUGAGGUAGUGUUUCCUAGGAAACAAGUUCUGAAACAGAUUUGCACACAGUUAGUUAUGAAGACGUGUCCUUGCAAUCAACACCUGUGGGAAAGUAUAGGAAGUCCUUAUACUUCUUAAACUUCCUAUUCCUAUUGUGGAUACUCUAUCUACAGUAUUCACAAUACUAAGCUUCCUUGCCCAGGGACUACAAAGUACAUAACACAAAGUAAAUAAUUGGUAAUCAGCUGUAGAAGGCCUUUGGCCAAAGCUGAAUGAAGAAUCCAAAUGUUAAUCAUUUUGCAGCAGGCACUGUUUGAGGAUUUUUUUUUUCCAUAAAAAAUGUUUUAGGCUACUCCAGUGCAAGUAUGCUUAAAGUGAGAAUAUGUAAGAGUAGCAGAGAAAAGCAAUUUCUGUUGCUAAAAGUCACAGCUUAUCAACUCUUCUGAAAUGUUGGCAACACAAUUGUGAUUAAAAACAACACACUCAGUGAAACUAAAAAUUAAAUCACAAAUAAACUUUGUAUAGAAAACUCCCAAAUGCAACUGUUUUAAAGUCAGGGAAACAAUGGGGUAGUAUUUUUUUUCUAUCCUUGGAUAUUUUAUAAUAACUUGUAACUCACAGGCAGAAGAGCUAAAGAAUCACUUGAAUAUAAAUGAAGUAUACAGGUAAAAUAAACAUGAACUACUAAUGAGAUGAUAGAGAAAUAAGAACAUUACCAUUAUUCACAUAUUAUAUAGAUGUAUGUAAGUCUUCAAUUUUGAGUAUUUAAAAUUAAGAUAUGUAGUCUUCAUUUACAUAAGUAAUUGAUGAUUCAGAAGACUAUAAAGUGAUUACCGCCAUUUAAAAAUGUUAACAUUUUUAUUUUAUAAAAUUAAAAUGUGAUCUUAUAUUCAUCUUUAUCUUUUUAAGGUACAAAAACAAUAUUGUAAAACAGGAAAGACUCUUGGAAAGAUAAGGAGUGACAGCUCACGAUCUAGAUACAGUUUUGGUCUUGUUGAGAUAAGGACAAACAGAAAAAAAGAGUUAGAAGACAUUCAGUCUUCAAAAGUCUUUACAGAUUACACUAGCACAGGAAUUUUCACCUCCUUUCACUUGGCCAUUCACCCACAAUCCUUUCUUCAUGGAAACAAUUUAUCAAAAAAAAAAAACAAAAAAAAAAAACCACAUACAAAAGAGCCCCAGAUCACCUCAGGCUGAAGGGCAUGAAGGAUGGAACCUGUGGGGGAUGCACACUGUACUAUCUGAAAACCUUCAUUCUAGUCCAACUGCUGGAUUCAAAAAUCUAAGGUAUAGAUAGGGAACACAGCUAGUGACAGAUUGGGAGUUAGAAUACAGGUCUCCUAAUUCUCUGUCCAAUGGAGACUCUCUCUGCUAUAUCACAUUAUACCGAUUCUAUACAUCAGCAGACACACUCUGUAUUUCAAAUAGAAAGAAGACAUUCAGGCUUACUAAAUGCAAGUUACAUGCAAAUAAACAGAGAAAACGUAUUAAGAUCUUAAGACAGUUUUUCUGCUAAACUCCUACAGGAUAAGAGAGAAAAUUCAUUGCUGGAUCCCAAGCAUCUACAACAGUAUGCUUGUAUAAAAUUAAUGCUCCACAAAUAUCAGUUAGUUAAUGAAUUAAUAUGUUCCAGGUAAGUACUUGUUAUAAAAUAAGUUUUUGUUUUUCUAUUUAACCAUGCAAAACCAUUCUCUAGUCUAGAGCUUCUCGAUUGGCAGGUUAACAGAAAAUGUACUUCAGGUGGGUUCCAGGUGCACCAUAUUUGGGAGGAUUCAGGGGGACCAGAGGUGUCCAGAGUUCCUGAGUGGUUGCAUUGGGACAGGAGAGAUCUCAUCCACUUACUCCAGCGUGCUGAAUGAAUGCCAUCAUUUUCCACGUGAACUGUGAUGUGAAAAAGGUUGGGAGGUACAGCUCAAGUGUGGGUAGGUGUUCCCAACAGAAUGGCAAUGUGGCACAGUAAAAAAGGAGCAGGGCUAUGACUCAGCCAAUUUUUCUUGAAAUGCCAGUGCCAUUACUUGAACUUAAAAUACUGCUAUUGCCUAACUUAAUUAUGGAAUACAAACUUAUUCUAUACCUUGAUUCUGGUAAUCAAGAAUGCUUUCCAAAUGAUGGCAGUACUUUUGGGUUUCCUCUGCAGGUGAAGAUAUCAUUUUCCCUUGGUAGUUCUAAUGACCCUAUACUACAUAGCCUUUCAACAGCUUCUGCCUUCCCGAGAGACAUGCACUUUUUAUUAACAUUUCUCUUGCUCUUUCUAAUGUCCUUUGCCUAUAUCUUAAUCUAAGUCGAUAUUUGUAUCUGCAUGUAAUGUGUGUUUUGAAACAGACUGAAAAUAAUAAUUGCAAGCUUAAUAGCAUCCCACCCCUAUGACUGUGAUUUUUCAAUUAGAAUCAAAAUUCUUCUUUUACAGAUGAAAUUUUGCCUGAUAGAUAGGAAAGGUUUUGAAACAAUGUAUUAGAUAGCAUCAAAUCUCUAAACGGUAUUUUCUUUUGAUGUCAUGACAUACCCCCCAACCCCUGAAAAUGACAGCUAUGAAACACAUACCAGAAAAUUCAGUAAAAUAAUUUCCAUUUUUUUUUUUUUUUGUUAAUCUUUUGGAGUAAAACUUUUUGCCUCCAGUGCCUAUAUUGCCUUAGCUUUCUUACAAACCCCUUUAAAAAAAAACUUUUCAUAGGCCUCUCUAAAGAGUAGAGCUGGCUUCUCACUUAUUCUAAUAUUGCAGAAAGCCUAAAGAGUGGAAAAAAGUGUUGAACACUCUGGCAGGUACAGGGGAAGAGAGAGAAGACAGAGAUGCCAUCCCUGCCCUCAAAGGUUCCCACUGCAAUGAGACAGAUGGACACAACUAUUAAUAUCUGAUUCUAGGCAAAGGGCAUGACAAAUUGCCAUCAAUGAGGCACGAGUAAUGAAUGAUGGGAACACAGAGAAGAGGGCAAUUACUUACGAAUGGUGUGAGCAGGCAGUAUGGUAUGGUGGUGGUCCGUGACUCUAAGACUCUAUUGCAGUUGAGAUUUGAUUUGGGACUUAAAAAAAAAACUUACUUUAACCCACUUUGGAAUGAAUGUUGUGUUACAACAAGAGUCUUCAAUAUCUAAUAUUCUUUGAGAGGAGUCACAGAUAAGCUUGCACUGAAACAAAUUCAUUUCACAGGAAGAAUAUUGGAACAAAAUCUGUGAAUUGAGCAGUGGAAGUUGAUGACUGUGUGUCAGACCUUCAUGUCAUGGGCAUAAUGAACAGCUCACAGAAGACUAAGAUUAUCGUGAGAUGGAAAUAAAAGAAUUGAGUUCCUUUCCUUCCAAGACAAGUGAAGGGGAACUCAAUAUUGCCAGACAUGAACAUCCGUGUUUUAACUAGCACAGAGAAAGCCUAUGUGUUACUAUUAAUAUAGAAUUUAGAAAAACAAUUUUUUUCUUAUAAAAUUUUCUGUUUGUAUUUGAACUAUACAAACUGGCUUUAAAAUUAAGAAAUAUGCCCUAAAACCGUUAAGGAAGAAGCCAGCAGAAAGAACAAAAGGAUCAGGGAAAUUAGGCUGUUCUGUUCCAUUUUGCCAUGAGCAAUAAAUCACAUUCUUUACAAAGUAAAUUAUGUCCUGUUUUUUAUUCUUAAGCACUAGGGUUAGGACUGUGAUCUAAGCUUGUGAGUAAAUCAGAAAAGAAAAUCUCAAUUAUAGAACAUUUAGUUUAUCUGUACCUUAGUGCCCAGGGAGGUAAUAUUUUACCUUAAAAUGUGUAACCCAUGUGGCAUGCUAGGUCUUCCAAAACGCUUCUCUUAAAUGUCUUCUAAUCCUUAAAAAAUGUGGGGCAGGGGAAAGGAGAGUGAGAGUUGAUGAUUGUGUGUCACACCUUUCAUGCCAUGGGCAUACUGAACACAUUAGAGAAGACUAAGACCAUCGUGAGAGGGAAAGAAAAGAAUUGAGUUCCUUUCCUUCCAAGACAAGUGAAUGACAGAUUUUGCCUUUACAAUAUAAAGUUAUGUGAAGACUUAUUAACUCAGGAAUCAAAGGUCUGCCAUAUUAUAGUAAGAGAAUUAUUGAAACAUUAGUAAAAUGGUGACCUAUGUUCAAAAGCGAGGCAAUUUUCUUGACCUUGCUGGCCUUUAGUUUCCUCAUCUACUAAACAUGAUUGAAACGUCUACAAGCAAGAACACAGUCCUGACUAUAUAACAAAUGUUAGUUUUAUAAAUUGUCUAUACAAGGGAAUUGAAGGGGCUAGGACAUUUAUUCAAUUAACUUGUCAUCCUUUAAUCUUUUAAUGUAACUACCACAUUGAAGCACCAUAUUUCUAUAAUUCUUUUCCUUUCACCAUUAAUUCUUCUAUAUUUUAUAUCUGUCUUUUUUUUUUUUUUUUUUU